UUGAUUACGAUUACCCCAUGUCUGAUAUGAACAUGAUUCAUAACGCAGCAUGACUAAAGUAAAAAGAAAGGAUAUAUUAAUUAACAUGAUUCAUAACGCAGCAUGACUAAGGUAAAGAAGAAGAGGAUAUAUUAAUUAACAUGAUUCAUAACGCAGCAUGACUAAGGUAAAGAAGAAGAGGAUAUAUUAAUUAACAUGAUUCAUAACGCAGCAUGACUAAGGUAAAGAAGAAGAGGAUAUAUUAAGUAACAUGAUUCAUAACGCAGCAUGACUAAGGUAAAGAAGAAGAGGAUAUAUUAAUUAACAUGAUUCAUAACACAGUAUGACUAAGGUAAAGAAGAAGAGGAUAUAUUAAGUAACAUGAUUCAUAACGCAGCAUGACUAAGGUAAAGAAGAAGAGGAUAUAUUAAUUAACAUGAUUCAUAACGCAGCAUGACUAAGGUAAAGAGGAAGAGGAAGAAGAACAAGAAGAAGAAGAGGAACAAGACCAGGAGCAUUAUCCAGGGUCUGUGUAAAGCCUUUCUCUAAGCCCGCCCUGCACGCGGAGUUGUUGGUUGUGGCGCCACACGUCUCAGAGCCGGAGGGCUUCCUGGCCCGCCGCUGCCCCUCCAUCUCCGGGGCCAGGCUCUGGAGCUUCUUCUCAGCCUACUGGAGGGAUCUGAGGGGAGGAAAAAGGAAAUCAAUCAAAGUUCUUCCUCACUAAAGAUGUCACUUAAUAUGAACUAAAUACUGGCAGCCUCUUUGCUAUUUUUUGCCUUCAUUAAAUUCCUGGAGGGUCUGAGAGGAGGAAAAAGGAGUAUGAGUAACAGCAAAGGCACAGCUCUGCCUCACCAUAAGAUGUCAUUUAGAGCAACUAAAAACACUGCGGCCAGCUUCCUAACUAUUUCUGGCCUUUGUUGAAUAAUUCCUGGAGGGUCUGGGAGGAGGGAGGGGAGAAGGGGCAGAGGGAAAGGAGGAAAGAAGGGAACAGGAGAGAAGGAAGAAAGAAGGGAAGGAGUGGCAAAAUCACAGCUCUUCCUCACCAAUAGAUGUCAUUUAUACCAACUAAAAAAUGCUGGCAGGUUCCUAACUAUUUCUUGCCCCCGACAUAUUUCUGAUGCUGGCAGGUUCCCAACUAUUUCUUGCCCCUGACAUAUUUCUGAUGCUGGCAGGUUCCUACUAUUUCUUGCCCCCGACAUAUUUCUGAUGCUGGCAGGUUCCUAACUAUUUCUUGCCCCUGACAUAUUUCUGAUGCUGGCAGGUUCCCAACUAUUUCUUGCCCCUGACAUAUUUCUGAUGCUGGCAGGUUCCCAACUAUUUCUUGCCCCUGACAUAUUUCUGAUGCUGGCAGGUUCCCAACUAUUUCUUGCCCCUGACAUAUUUCUGAUGCUGGCAGGUUCCCAACUAUUUCUUGCCCCUGACAUAUUUCUGAUGCUGGCAGGUUCCCAACUAUUUCUUGCCCCUGACAUAUUUCUGAUGCUGGCAGGUUCCCAACUAUUUCUUGCCCCUGACAUAUUUCUGAAGUGUUCUGGGGGGAGGAAAAAGGUGACAGGAGCACUGGAGAAAGUGAAGCUCUUCCUUACUAAAAGAUGUUGAUUAAUAAUAACAAAAAAAAAUCAUUGGCAGCUUCUAUGUUAUUUCCUGCCUCUGUUAAAUUGGUAGGGAGGAGGAAGAAGGUGGUGUG